UACGGGGGGAGCAAGCGUUGUUCGGAUUUACUGGGCGUAAAGGGCGCGUAGGCGGCCAGCACAAGUCAGUUGUGAAAUCUCCGAGCUUAACUCGGAAAGGUCAACUGAUACUGUGCGGCUAGAGUGCAGAAGGGGCAACUGGAAUUCUUGGUGUAGCGGUGAAAUGCGCAGAUAUCAGGAGGAACACCAAUGGCGAAGGCAGCCCGCUGGGACGUGACUGACGCUGAGACGCGAAAGCGUGGGGAGCAAACAGG
rnacentral:rRNA from 1 species